rnacentral:rRNA from 1 species
UUAUGGAAAGUGCCUUUACCUCUCAAGAUUAAAAUAUUUGUUUGGCAGCUUCAGAGGGAUCGACUCCCAUUUGGGACGUCGGUGAUCAAAUGGCAUGGCCCCGGGGAUGGGAUGUGCCCCCUUUGUGUUGUUUCUGAGACAGGGAGACACAUUUUCUUCUCCUGCACAAGAGCGAGAGUUCUUUGGAGCUUUGUCCGUGAGGCUCUAAGGCCUGACUAUGAGGACCUGGACCUGUACCGGUUCCUCCAAACCUAUGCCAACCAGACCGGGAGGGGAGGAAGUGCUUGUUCUGGCUUGUGUUUGCGGUGCUAG